rnacentral:lncRNA from 1 species
AACAGAACACAAAAUAAGUGAAGUUAUCUGUAGAUGGCUCUCUAUUACAUGCUGCACAUAUACUCCCGGAUCUCAUCUUCUUGCGGUGUUCUGCCAUAUCUGAUGAGGUCGUAUUCUCAUAUUUAUUGGAGAAGAUGGACUGUUACAAGCUGUGUGUCAUCCACAAAGACUGAAAAACGCCAGCCUGCCCACAGAUGAUUCACUUUAUGUCAGUCCCCACAGUUUUAUUAAACCUGUGAGGAGA